AUACGAAGGGUGCAAGCGUUACUCGGAAUUACUGGGCGUAAAGCGUGCGUAGGUGGUUGUUUAAGUCUGUCGUGAAAGCCCUGGGCUCAACCUGGGAAUGGCGAUGGAAACUGGGCGACUAGAGUGUGGCAGAGGGUAGUGGAAUUCCUGGUGUAGCAGUGAAAUGCGUAGAGAUCAGGAGGAACAUCCGUGGCGAAGGCGACUGCCUGGGCCAACACUGACACUGAGGCACGAAAGCGUGGGGAGCAAACAGGAUUAGAUACCCUGGUAGUCCACGCCCCAAACGAUGCGAACUGGAUGUUGGGUGCAAUUUGGCACGCAGUAUCGAAGCUAACGCGUUAAGUUCGCCGCCUGGGGAGUACGGUCGCAAGACUGAAACUCAAAUGAAUUGGCGGGG
rnacentral:rRNA from 1 species